rnacentral:rRNA from 1 species
AACGCUAGCUACAGGCUUAACACAUGCAAGUCGAGGGGCAGCAUUAUCGAAGCUUGCUUUGAUAGAUGGCGACCGGCGCACGGGUGAGUAACGCGUAUCCAACCUUCCCCAUAGUCAGGAAUAGCCCGGCGAAAGUCGAAUUAAUGCCUGAUGUUUUCCACGGACGGCAUCUGAUGUGGAACAAAGAUUCAUCGCUAUGGGAUGGGGAUGCGUCUGAUUAGCUUGUUGGCGGGGUAACGGCCCACCAAGGCAACGAUCAGUAGGGGUUCUGAGAGGAAGGUCCCCCACAUUGGAACUGAGACACGGUCCAAACUCCUACGGGAGGCAGCAGUGAGGAAUAUUGGUCAAUGGGCGGAAGCCUGAACCAGCCAAGUAGCGUGAGGGAUGACUGCCCUAUGGGUUGUAAACCUCUUUUAUAAGGGAAUAAAAUACGGGACGUGUCCUGUUUUGCAUGUACCUUAUGAAUAAGGACCGGCUAAUUCCGUGCCAGCAGCCGCGGUAAUACGGAAGGUCCAGGCGUUAUCCGGAUUUAUUGGGUUUAAAGGGAGCGCAGGCGGUCUUAUAAGCGUGACGUGAAAUGCAGCGGCUCAACCGUAUGAUGUGCGUCGCGAACUGUGAGACUUGAGUGUAUUCGAUGUCAGCGGAAUUUGUGGUGUAGCGGUGAAAUGCUUAGAUAUCACGAAGAACUCCGAUUG